rnacentral:rRNA from 1 species
UACGAAGGGUGCAAGCGUUAUUCGGAAUUACUGGGCGUAAAGGGCGCGUAGGCGGUUUGUUAAGUCUGUCGUGAAAUCCCCGGGCUCAACCUGGGAAUGGCGAUGGAUACUGGCGAGCUAGAGUGUGUCAGAGGAUGGUGGAAUUCCCGGUGUAGCGGUGAAAUGCGUAGAGAUCGGGAGGAACAUCAGUGGCGAAGGCGGCCAUCUGGGACAACACUGACGCUGAAGCACGAAAGCGUGGGGAGCAAACAGG